rnacentral:lncRNA from 1 species
CCACCUUUGGACCCUCUCUCAAACUCUCUCGAAGGUUCCCCAGAACUCUAGCCCCUCUCAUCCUCUCCGACCAUAAACCUCACUGGAAUCCAUGGCUUCUCAGGCCAUGGAUGGCCUGUACCAACCUCCAUUGGCCCUUAGACCUUGGUGUUAGAAGUUUCGAGGUCUGACCUCAACAAUGUCUGUUCAGAUCUUCUCAGAUCCGUGGAUUUGAGGCCUCUCCGACCUUGCUCCGGCGUAUCUAAGCGUUAUGAGCCUAUCUAUGACCUUAUCCGGCUCAGGAUCGAGCUUUCCCAGGCCUUUCUCACUCUAGGAUUUUUCUGAUACCCUAGUUACUCGAGGUUCUCUCUAAUUAUUUUUAAGAUCUGGUAUAUGUCUGUGCUCUACCUGAGUUUCUUAAACGUUUUCCCCGAUUUACUUUCACAAAAAAUUGCUCCUAUUCGAUUUUAGGGUUUCUGAAAGGAUUUUUUGGGAAAUAUCUUUCUGAUUCUUCUCCUUCUUUCAUUCAUGUGUGCUUGUACAUACCCUGUGCUUGUGAUCUCUUUUGUUACGCAUGUACUACCUUCUACUUUUUGUUUUCUACUAUGCAUGUUACUCAUGUUAAUCCUUGCUUAGUUUCUUUUACUCUUUUACUAUGUGUGUUCACAGUUAAGUUAUUUGAUUUUUGUUUACUGGACUUUAUUCAUGUUCUUACAUGCUUCGUCUACUUGUGCUCCCAUUUGUAUUUUUCCCUUUCUUCUGAACCUAUUUAGGUUCCGACUUUUCUCAAAUAUAGUCUUCAUGAUUUUUCUCCUUUGUCGUUCAAACUUGCUAUCGUAUCUAUUUUGUUGAGACUCUGAACAAA